UUCGGGUGCCCCUCACGGGGUGAAACGGGAAACCGGUGCGCCUUCGGGCCAGUCCGGUGCUGCCCCCGCAACGGUAAGCGAGCGUGCUUCCAGGCAAUGCCUGAACCACUGUGCACAGGCAUGGGAAGGUAUGAAGCAGAUCGGUGGUCUGUAUUGUCCGCCCCUCGCGAGCCCGGAGACCGGCCCGAGCG
rnacentral:ncRNA from 1 species